rnacentral:rRNA from 1 species
GUCGAGCGGUAAGGCCUUUCGGGGUACACGAGCGGCGAACGGGUGAGUAACACGUGGGUGAUCUGCCCUGCACUUCGGGAUAAGCCUGGGAAACUGGGUCUAAUACCGGAUAUGACCUCCUAUCGCAUGGUGGGUGGUGGAAAGAUUUAUCGGUGCAGGAUGGGCCCGCGGCCUAUCAGCUUGUUGGUGGGGUAAUGGCCUACCAAGGCGACGACGGGUAGCCGACCUGAGAGGGUGACCGGCCACACUGGGACUGAGACACGGCCCAGACUCCUACGGGAGGCAGCAGUGGGGAAUAUUGCACAAUGGGCGAAAGCCUGAUGCAUCGACGCCGCGUGAGGGAUGACGGCCUUCGGGUUGUAAACCUCUUUCAGCAGGGACGAAGCGCAAGUGACGGUACCUGCAUAAGAAGCACCGGCUAACUACGUGCCAGCAGCCGCGGUAAUACGUAGGGUGCAAGCGUUGUCCGGAAUUACUGGGCGUAAAGAGUUCGUAGGCGGUUUGUCGCGUCCUUUGUGAAAACCAGCAGCUCAACUGCUGGCUUGCAGGCGAUACGGGCAGACUUGAGUACUGCAGGGGAGACUGGAAUUCCUGGUGUAGCGGUGAAAUGCGCAGAUAUCAGGAGGAACACCGGUGGCGAAGGCGGGUCUCUGGGCAGUAACUGACGCUGAGGAACGAAAG